CUUCCCUUGAUCCAGAACUAGGGUUAAUUCAAAUGUCAGGUAAGCAUUUGGUUGUUGAACUUUCAUUGAACCAUUGGAUUUGCAAACCCACCAUAAAUAACUGGGACAUCCCUCUUUCAGUUUCCAGGUUCGUGAUUUGCUAGCCCCACAUGCACCCCUCGAUGCUCAACUUGGCACAGAUAGAUUUUAGAAAGUGAUGUGAUUAAAGGAUGGGCUUGUACAUGGUGUGAUCUGGCCCAUACCUUCCCUAGGGAUAUAGACCUCUAAGACCAAGUGAUCUGAUGAUCUUCAAUGCUCUUAAUUCAUCCAUUCCACAUAUGCUGAUGGGUAGCAUGAAAAUCAUGUGCAAGGCAAAAGGACCAUGCAUGGCCAUUUGGUGGAUGCCAGCUCUAAAUGGCCUGCCUUACAAUGAGGAUGAUGAUCCAGGCAUGAAGUGGGCCACAAGGGAAGGGGAAACGGAUGGAGAGGAUAUGAGAGAGGAGUAGAGAGGCUCCCCGAGAACAUUCCAGAAGCUUCCACCGCCGCCAUCGCAAUCCCCAAAUUCAUAUUCCCUCCGAAGAAUGCACCCAUUCCAGAAGUAUCUAGAAACGAAGGCGAUGACGGCGACGUCGGAUCUAAACACCCAUAAGACUGCGUGGGACAUAAACAGUCUUCUUCGAACACAGACGGCAACAGCUGAGGCGCUGGAAGCGCUGCAACGGAGUCGGGCGAAUACGGUGAGAAGCCGUUAACAUUGCUGACGUCCGUUAACGGAAUUUGGGACUGUAAGGAAGAGAUAUCGAAUUGUUCGUGUUGGUUUGAUGUGAUGACGGGAGGAAUGGAGAAUGGAGAAGGGAAAUUCAAGGUGGUGGGGAUUUCGGGUUCGGCUUCGAGAGGGGAGUCGAGGAGGAUGGAGAUGGUGGCGUCGUUGAAAUUCGCGACGUCAGGUGGGAAGGAUGAGAAGGAGAGGUCUGUGGUGUAGGAGUUGUCGUCGUAGCAGCAGCCUCCGGCGCCUCCGGAGCAGGAAGAGACUUCGGAGCUCCGGAGGGAUUCUGGAAAGAAGACAUUAUCGCAGAAGUCCAGGAUCUGGACCGAUGAGAUGGGGCUGGACAGGCUUUCCUGUGGUAUUAGAUUAGAAGAUGAAAUUAGAGCCGUUGGAUUAGAUUACAGUAAUUAUAACCAACAGUACGAGUUUUUUUUUU